UCUGGUUCAGGACGAACGCUGCGGCACGCUUAACACAUGCAAGUCGAACGGGUAAAAGAGCUUGCUCUUUACUUAGUGGCGGACGGGUGAGUAACACGUGAGCAACCUACCUCUGAGAGCGGAAUAGCUUCUGGAAACGGAUGGUAAUACCGCAGUAACAUUGUGAAACCGCAUGAUUUUGCAAUCAAAUGAAAUUCGCUCAGAGAUGGGCUCGCGCCUGAUUAGCUAGAUGGUGAGGUAACGGCUCACCAUGGCGACGAUCAGUAGCCGGACUGAGAGGUUGAACGGCCACAUUGGGACUGAGACACGGCCCAGACUCCUACGGGAGGCAGCAGUGGGGAAUAUUGCACAAUGGGCGAAAGCCUGAUGCAGCGAUGCCGCGUGGAGGAAGAAGGUUUUCGGAUUGUAAACUCCUUUUUUCAGGGACGAUAAUGACGGUACCUGAAGAAGAAGCUCCGGCUAACUACGUGCCAGCAGCCGC
rnacentral:rRNA from 1 species